rnacentral:rRNA from 1 species
GUCUAUGGCCACGCCACCCUGAAUGUGCCCAAUCCCGUCUGAUCUCAGAAGCUAAGCAGGGUCAGGCCUGGUUCGUACUCGGAAUGGAGACCACCUAGGAAUACCAGGUGCUGUAGGCG